UUUAAACGAGAGUUUGAUCCUGGCUCAGGAUGAACGCUGGCGGCGUGCUUAACACAUGCAAGUCGAACGAAGCACCUUAGACAGAAGCCUUCGGGCGGAAGACUUUGGUGACUUAGUGGCGGACGGGUGAGUAACGCGUGGGUAACCUGCCCUGUACCGGGG
rnacentral:rRNA from 1 species